GUGAAUCAUCAAAUCUUUGAACGCAAAUUGCACUCUCUUCGGAGAGUAUGCCUGUUUGAGGGCCAGCCUAUAAAAAAUCGACAUCGUUGCUGUUUCGCGGUGGCGUUCGCCGGAAAUUGGGCCAUCUUAAACCUCUUGGUUUUUAGCGACUUAAAAUUUUCUUUUUGGUUCGCUGAACGUCUCUAAGAUUUAUUUCUUUAGACGUCUAAGGUAUGGAUUUUUAUUAGAUGUGACCAUCAUAUCGGAUCGUGUCCAUAAUUUUUUAUU
rnacentral:misc_RNA from 1 species